rnacentral:tRNA from 1 species
GGGCCCAUAGCUCAGUUGGUUAGAGCAACGGACUCAUAAUCCGUGGGUCCUAGGUUCAAAUCCUAGUGGGCCCA